rnacentral:rRNA from 1 species
GACGAACGCUGGCGGCGUGCCUAAUACAUGCAAGUCGAACGCUGAAGGAGGAGCUUGCUUCUCUGGAUGAGUUGCGAACGGGUGAGUAACGCGUAGGUAACCUGCCUGGUAGCGGGGGAUAACUAUUGGAAACGAUAGCUAAUACCGCAUAAGAGUAGAUGUCGCAUGACAUUUGCUUAAAAGGUGCAAUUGCAUCACUACCAGAUGGACCUGCGUUGUAUUAGCUAGUUGGUGAGGUAACGGCUCACCAAGGCAACGAUACAUAGCCGACCUGAGAGGGUGAGCGGCCACACUGGGACUGAGACACGCCCCAGACGCCUACGGGAGGCAGCAGUAGGGAAUCUUCGGCAAGCGACGGAAGUCUGACCGAGCAACGCCGCGUGAGGGAAGAAGGUUGUCGGAUCGUAAAGCUCGGUUGUAAGAGAAGAACGAGUGUGAGAGUGGAAAGUUCACACUGUGACGGUAUCUUACCAGAAAGGGACGGCUAACUACGUG